UCAAAUUCACACAAUGGAGGCAGCCAGUCUUGUCUCAUUUUUGCCUGAUUCAUUCUCAGCUAAGAUGCUCAUCUGGCACCUGCAGGCUUGAGGUUGUCUCUUUAGAAUCUGAGUAGUCCUCCAGGAUAUCAGGGAAUACACCUGUUUACCACAGUAUCUCCAGAACCCAGGACAUGGCAUGGCACGUAGUAAGUGCGUACUAAAAGUUUUUGAAUGUCCCUAGAAAGACAGAUCUCAGAGCAUCAUUUUAAGAGAUUCCAUGACUUCAAACAGGAAGAGACCAUGGUAUCAUAGAAGCUGUGACUUAGAAGAUACUCAUGUCAUAUAUGCUUGGCCUGAUUUCAAACUCUGUUAUUCCAAAACCCUAUGAGGAGAUAUGACUGUUUCUCCUCCUCAUGAAAAUCUCUGGGAAUGGAGAGCCUACAAUAUCUCAGCCUGCAGUAGCAUCACUGACGUGAACACAGGCUCCCAGCUCUUUGAGCACAGGGCCUGAGUCUUCCCUCUUUGCAUCUCCACUAGAGUAGGCUCCUGAUUCUUUCAAAGGAACGCAUGUGAAGCCAUGGCUGUGAAGGAGUGGCUGUGAAGAUGGCGUGGCCUUACUUUUGUCAAGAAGGUGCAAGGGACAGAGCAACUCCCUAUUAUAGUAGAAACUCAGUAAAUGCUUGUAGUAAGGACGAAAUUAUGGGGUUAUGUGUGUGCGAGUAUACCUGUUCUACAUGGGAAGCAGGAGCCGGAAGGAGGUGGGGGGCCAUCUACCAUCUUUUCAUAUCUGCCUCUGCAAACGCAUCUAAUUACCUCACCUCCAUCAGCAGGCCCUUGGCAGAGGCCACGCGUUGGGUCUGCGCGGUCCUGGCAGCCGCAGUGUGGAGGGUGAACCUGAUGGCCUCUUCAGUCUAUUUAGCAGGCUCUGGGAUGUUUGCCUCAUCUAUCAGAAACUUGUCCUCCCCAACCUUGAUGUUAACAACUCAAGAAUGAAGGCCAGACUGCAUAUUUCCUCCACAGGCCCUGAAGUAUUACAACAAUCUCCUUUUACUUAAUACUCCCCUUAGAGCAACUGCUUCUAUGAUGGUCUGGAGCAGAUUUCAGGGAAGAAGAAAACAAUUGAUGAUAACACUGAUCACAUUCAUCCCAUCACAACUGACCUUCAACCAUGUCUCCACCUCUAGAGCAAAGCAGGGAAUUAAAGCAAUUCUCCAGCAAAAGCCAUCUUGUCAUGACUUCUUUAUGUUCAACGGAUAUCAAGGUUACUUACUCUGUCUAGCCUUUGGGACUAGCCAGGGAAGAAGGCCACGGAGGGCCAGUGUAUGGUUAAAGGAAGAGAACUGGAGUUUCAGAGAAAACAUCAAUGCACUCCCCUUCUUUGCAACACAAGACCAGAUGCUCAGCAGCAAGUAUAUGUAGAAUGAAAGCAAUGGCAAUAUAACAGUAAUAAACAUUUUACGUGCCUGCAGCUACUGUAACAGGAAAAUCUAAUGUAAAUGGUUUGCAAUGCCCAUGUGGGGUGUGCUGUGGCUAUGCCUUUCACAUGUGUCUUGCAUAUGGCGCCCAUAAGUACAGUAUAAAAGAUGGAAAUACACUUUCUCUUUCACUUUUCUGGGGGGUUGGUGUGGGGAAAUGUUGCAAAUAGUAGCUACAUGUAAAUUGAAGGAAAUUUUUAAAUGACUUUGCACUUAGUUUGUUGUUGUGUAGUAGACUUAAUAAUAAUUAAGCAUAGUGCCUGCACUGAGUAAGGCAGUCAUUGUGCAGUUUCUAUUUUAGUAAUAGUAACUUACAAUUGGAUCGUGCUUUAUAAACAUGCAUUACAGUGCCAGUGGAGUAUCUUUUCCAGGUUCGCUUACAUCUGUCCAUCUGCUAAACUUCUGCUCAAUGUCCAAUUCUGGAAGCUCAUUGUUGCUUCACACCAACCCCAUAUUUUCGAGCAAUCUUUAUCUUUAGUGAAGCUAACAUUUUGAUCUCCAUGUGCCUAACUCCUUUGCUUAUCUCAACUUCUUUAGAACUCGUGUAGAAAGAAGUGUCCUAUUUGAUUGGGCCUCCUUCAAAUCACAGGAGUGGAGAGUGACAACAAUGUAUGUUUUUUUUCUUAAGUUCUUAAAUUUAUUUAUUUAUUUUGGG